CUCGGGUGACGAGCGGCGGACGGGUGAGUAAUGUCUGGGAAACUGCCUGAUGGAGGGGGAUAACUACUGGAAACGGUAGCUAAUACCGCAUAACGUCGCAAGACCGAAGUGGGGGACCUUCGGGCCUCAUGCCAUCAGAUGUGCCCAGAUGGGAUUAGCUAGUAGGUGGGGUAACGGCUCACCUAGGCCACGAUCCCUAGCUGGUCUGAGAGGAUGACCAGCCACACUGGAACUGAGACACGGUCCAGACUCCUACGGGAGGCAGCAGUGGGGAAUAUUGCACAAUGGGCGCAAGCCUGAUGCAGCCAUGCCGCGUGUGUGAAGAAGGCCUUCGGGUUGUAAAGCACUUUCAGCGGGGAGGAAGGCGUUAAGGUUAAUAACCUUGGCGAUUGACGUUACCCGCAGAAGAAGCACCGGCUAACUCCGUGCCAGCAGCCGCGGUAAUACGGAGGGUGCUAGCGUUAAUCGGAAUUACUGGGCGUAAAGCGCACGCAGGCGGUCUGUCAAGUCGGAUGUGAAAUCCCCGGGCUCAACCUGGGAACUGCAUUCGAAACUGGCAGGCUAGAGUCUUGUAGAGGGGGGUAGAAUUCCAGGUGUAGCGGUGAAAUGCGUAGAGAUCUGGAGGAAUACCGGUGGCGAAGGCGGCCCCCUGGACAAAGACUGACGCUCAGGUGCGAAAGCGUGGGGAGCAAACAGGAUUAGAUACCCUGGUAGUCCACGCCGUAAACGAUGUCGAUUUGGAGGUUGUGCCCUUGAGGCGUGGCUUCCGGAGCUAACGCGUUAAAU
rnacentral:rRNA from 1 species